ACGGAAGGCAGCAGUGAGGAAUAUUGGUCAAUGGACGGAAGUCUGAACCAGCCAUGCCGCGUGAAGGAAUAAGGCCCUAUGGGUCGUAAACUUCUUUUGAGUGGGAGCAAUAAGGUGCACGCGUGCAUCGAUGAGAGUACCAUUCGAAUAAGCAUCGGCUAACUCCGUGCCAGCAGCCGCGGUAAUACGGAGGAUGCAAGCGUUAUCCGGAUUUAUUGGGUUUAAAGGGUGCGUAGGCUGUUUGUCAAGUCAGGGGUGAAAUGCCGAGGCUUAACCUUGGAAUUGCCUUUGAUACUGGCAGGCUUGAAUACAGUUGCCGUGGGAGGAAUGAGUAGUGUAGCGGUGAAAUGCAUAGAUAUUACUCAGAACACCGAUUGCGAAGGCAUCUCACGAAACUGCGAUUGACGCUGAGGCACGAAAGUGUGGGGAUCAAACAGGAUUAGAUACCCUGGUA
rnacentral:rRNA from 1 species